rnacentral:rRNA from 1 species
AGCAGCAGCCACGGUAAUACGAAGGGUGCAAGCGUUACUCGGAAUUACUGGGCGUAAAGCGUGCGUAGGUGGUGGUUUAAGUCCGUUGUGAAAGCCCUGGGCUCAACCUGGGAAUUGCAGUGGAUACUGGGUCACUAGAGUGUGGUAGAGGAUAGUGGAAUUUCCGGUGUAGCAGUGAAAUGCGUAGAGAUCGGAAGGAACAUCUGUGGCGAAGGCGACUAUCUGGGCCAACACUGACACUGAGGCACGAAAGCGUGGGGAGCAAACAGGAUUAGAUACCCGAGUAGUCCCUGUCUCUUAUAA